GCGGAGGAAAAGAAACCAACAGGGAUUGCCCUAGUAACGGCGAGUGAAGCGGCAACAGCUCAAAUUUGAAAUCUGGCUCUCUUUGGGGGUCCGAGUUGUAAUUUGCAGAGGAUGCUUUGGCAUUGGCGGCGGUCUAAGUUCCUUGGAACAGGACAUCGCAGAGGGUGAGAAUCCCGUACGUGGGCGCCUGCCUUUGCCGUGUAAAGCUCCUUCGACGAGUCGAGUUGUUUGGGAAUGCAGCUCUAAAUGGGAGGUAAAUUUCUUCUAAAGCUAAAUACCGGCCAGAGACCGAUAGCGCACAAGUAGAGUGAUCGAAAGAUGAAAAGUACUUUGGAAAGAGAGUCAAAAAGCACGUGAAAUUGUUGAAAGGGAAGCGCUUGCAGCCAGACUUGCCCGCAGUUGCUCACCUAGGCUUUGGCCUGGGGCACUCUUCUGCGGGCAGGCCAGCAUCAGUUUGGGCGGUCGGACAAAGGCCUCUGUCAAGUAUCUCCCUUCGGGGUGACCUUAUAGGGGAGGCGUAAUGCGACCAGCCCGGACUGAGGUCCGCGCAUCUGCUAGGAUGCUGGCGUAAUGGCUGUAAGCGGCCCGUCUUGAAACACGGACCAAGGAGUCUAACAUCUAUGCGAGUGUUUGGGUGUCAAGCCCGGGCGCGCAAUGAAAGUGAACGGAGGUGGGAACCCUUUGGGUGCACCAUCGACCGAUCCUGAUGUCUUCGGAUGGAUUUGAGUAAGAGCAUAGCUGUUGGGACCCGAAAGAUGGUGAACUAUGCUUGAAUAGGGUGAAGCCAGAGGAAACUCUGGUGGAGGCUCGCAGCGGUUCUGACGUGCAAAUCGAUCGUCAAAUUUGGGCAUAGGGGCGAAAGACUAAUCGAACCAUCUAGUAGCUGGUCCUG
rnacentral:sRNA from 1 species